rnacentral:rRNA from 1 species
CAGCAGCCGCGGGAAUACGGAGGGUGCAGGCGUUAAUCGGAAUUACUGGGCGUAAAGCGCACGCAGGCGGUCUGUUAAGUCUGCUGUGAAAUCCCCGGGCUCAACCUGGGAAUGGCAGUGGAUACUGGCAAGCUAGAGUGUGUCAGAGGAUGGUGGAAUUCCCGGUGUAGCGGUGAAAUGCGUAGAGAUCGGGAGGAACAUCAGUGGCGAAGGCGGCCAUCUGGGACAACACUGACGCUGAGGCACGAAAGCGUGGGGAGCAAACAGGAUUAGAGACCCCCGUAGUCCCUGUCUCUUAUAC